UACAGAGGGGGCAAGCGUUGCUCGGAAUCACUGGGGCGUAAAAGGGCGCGUAGGCGGCCAUUCAAGUGACGGGUGAAAGCCCUCGGCUUAACCGAGGAACUGCCUGUCAGACUGGAUGGCUUGAGACCGGGAGAGGUGAGUGGAAUUCCCAGUGUAGCGGUGAAAAUUCGUAGAUAUCGAGAGGAACACCGGUGGCGAAGGCGGCGAUCUGGACGAUGACUGACGCUGAGACGCGAAAGCGUGGGGAGCAAACAGG
rnacentral:rRNA from 1 species